rnacentral:rRNA from 1 species
AUAGCGUAUACUAAAGUUGUUGCAGUUAAAAAGCUCGUAGUUGAAUUUCUGGUCGUGGCAGCCGGUCCGCCCCUCACGGGGUGUGCACCUGGUUUCUGCAGCCAUCCUCGCGGAGAGCGCGUCUGUCCUUCACUGGUCGGGCGCGGGAUCCGCGUCAUUUACUGUGAGCAAAAUAGAGUGUUCAAAGCAGGCUUAGGCCGUUGAAUACAUUAGCAUGGAAUAAUAAGAUAGGACCUUGGUCUAUUUUGUUGGUUUGUACUCCAAGGUAAUGAUUAAUAGGGAUAGUUGGGGGUAUUCGUAUUCAAUUGUCAGAGGUGAAAUUCUUGGAUUUAUGGAAGACGAACUACUG